GACGAACGCUGGCGGCGUGCCUAAUACAUGCAAGUCGAACGAACUCUGGUAUUGAUUGGUGCUUGCAUCAUGAUUUACAUUUGAGUGAGUGGCGAACUGGUGAGUAACACGUGGGAAACCUGCCCAGAAGCGGGGGAUAACACCUGGAAACAGAUGCUAAUACCGCAUAACAACUUGGACCGCAUGGUCCGAGCUUGAAAGAUGGCUUCGGCUAUCACUUUUGGAUGGUCCCGCGGCGUAUUAGCCAGAUGGUGGGGUAACGGCUCACCAUGGCAAUGAUACGUAGCCGACCUGAGAGGGUAAUCGGCCACAUUGGGACUGAGACACGGCCCAAACUCCUACGGGAGGCAGCAGUAGGGAAUCUUCCACAAUGGACGAAAGUCUGAUGGAGCAACGCCGCGUGAGUGAAGAAGGGUUUCGGCUCGUAAAACUCUGUUGUUAAAGAAGAACAUAUCUGAGAGUAACUGUUCAGGUAUUGACGGUAUUUAACCAGAAAGCCACGGCUAACUACGUGCCAGCAGCCGCGGUAAUACGUAGGUGGCAAGCGUUGUCCGGAUUUAUUGGGCGUAAAGCGAGCGCAGGCGGUUUUUUAAGUCUGAUGUGAAAGCCUUCGGCUCAACCGAAGAAGUGCAUCGGAAACUGGGAAACUUGAGUGCAGAAGAGGACAGUGGAACUCCAUGUGUAGCGGUGAAAUGCGUAGAUAUAUGGAAGAACACCAGUGGCGAAGGCGGCUGUCUGGUCUGUAACUGACGCUGAGGCUCGAAAGUAUGGGUAGCAAACAGGAUUAGAUACCCUGGUAGUCCAUACCGUAAACGAUGAAUGCUAAGUGUUGGAGGGUUUCCGCCCUUCAGUGCUGCAGCUAACGCAUUAAGCAUUCCGCCUGGGGAGUACGGCCGCAAGGCUGAAACUCAAAGGAAUUGACGGGGGCCCGCACAAGCGGUGGAGCAUGUGGUUUAAUUCGAAGCUACGCGAAGAACCUUACCAGGUCUUGACAUACUAUGCAAAUCUAAGAGAUUAGACGUUCCCUUCGGGGACAUGGAUACAGGUGGUGCAUGGUUGUCGUCAGCUCGUGUCGUGAGAUGUUGGGUUAAGUCCCGCAACGAGCGCAACCCUUAUUAUCAGUUGCCAGCAUUAAGUUGGGCACUCUGGUGAGACUGCCGGUGACAAACCGGAGGAAGGUGGGGAUGACGUCAAAUCAUCAUGCCCCUUAUGACCUGGGCUACACACGUGCUACAAUGGAUGGUACAACGAGUUGCGAACUCGCGAGAGUAAGCUAAUCUCUUAAAGCCAUUCUCAGUUCGGAUUGUAGGCUGCAACUCGCCUACAUGAAGUCGGAAUCGCUAGUAAUCGCGGAUCAGCAUGCCGCGGUGAAUACGUUCCCGGGCCUUGUACACACCGCCCGUCACACCAUGAGAGUUUGUAACACCCAAAGUCGGUGGGGUAACCUUUUAGGAACCAGCCGCCUAAGGUGGGACAGAUGAUUAGGGUG
rnacentral:rRNA from 1 species